AGCUGCGAGCGAACAGGGAAGAGCCCAGCACCUAAUCNNGCGNNCGAUAYCGGGCGCCGGGAAAUGUGGUGUUAGGGAGGGUCCAUUAUCCCGAGAUCAUGCGGUGCGUCCAAGUCCUUCUUGAACGGGGCCACAGCCCAUAGAGGGUGCCAGGCCCGUAGUGACUGCUGCUGAUCGCGGGAGGAUCUCUCCUCAGAGUCGGGUUGCUUGAGAGUGCAGCCCUAAGUGGGUGGUAAACUCCAUCUAAGGCUAAAUAUGACCACGAGACCGAUAGCGAACAAGUACCGUGAGGGAAAGUUGAAAAGCACUUUGAAGAGAGAGUUCAAGAGUACGUGAAACCGUUUAGGGGUAAACCUGAGAAACCCGAAAGGUCGAAGGGAGAAAUUCAUUCGCGUUUCGACGUUGGCGUGAGACGGUCGUGAGAGANAGAACGUGUUCGCACGUCUUUCACGCCUUCUGUUUUUCGAUCCGACAGCGAACGCGUGCACUUUUCUCCUGGUAGGACGUCGCGAUCCGUUGGGUGUCGGUAUACGGCUCGCGGUGGAGCCCAGACGUACGGCUUGCCGUCACGUUCGGACCCGCGUGUCCCGGCUGACUCGCUCGACGGUAUACGAAAGGUUUAAGGCCGCUCUUAGAGCGUUCGGAUCGUAGCAAGCGCGCCAGAUGCGUGUCGGUGAUCGGACCUGGUGCCGGUUCUGACCUCUGGUGACUGUUGGCUGCGAAGUUCGUCGAACAGACCUUCGACCGAUUUGACGACGAAAUAGCUUUGGGUACUUUCAGGACCCGUCUUGAAACACGGACCAAGGAGUGUAGCAUGUGCGCGAGUCAUUGGGAAUCACUAAACCUAAAGGCGCAAUGAAAGUAAAGGUCCGCCUCGCGCGGACUGAGGGAAGACGGGCGGUUCACCCUUAAAAGUGACCGCUCCGCAUUCCCGGGGCGUCUCAUUCUCAUCGCGAGAAGAGGCGCACCAAGAGCGUACACGCUGAGACCCGAAAGAUGGUGAACUAUGCCUGGUCAGGACGAAGUCAGGGGAAACCCUGAUGGAGGUCAGUAUCGAUUCUGACGUGCAAAUCUAUCGUCUGAACUGGGUUUAGGGGCGAAAGACUAAUC
rnacentral:rRNA from 1 species